AGUGAACGCUGGCGGUAGGCCUAACACAUGCAAGUCGAACGGCAGCACAGUAAGAGCUUGCUCUUACGGGUGGCGAGUGGCGGGCGGGUGAGGAAUACAUCGGAAUCUACUUUUUCGUGGGGGAUAACGUAGGGAAACUUACGCUAAUACCGCAUACGACCUACGGGUGAAAGCAGGGGAUCUUCGGACCUUGCGCGAUUGAAUGAGCCGAUGUCGGAUUAGCUAGUUGGCGGGGUAAAGGCCCACCAAGGCGACGAUCCGUAGCUGGUCUGAGAGGAUGAUCAGCCACACUGGAACUGAGACACGGUCCAGACUCCUACGGGAGGCAGCAGUGGGGAAUAUUGGACAAUGGGCGCAAGCCUGCUCCAGCCAUACCGCGUGGGUGAAGAAGGCCUUCGGGUUGUAAAGCCCUUUUGUUGGGAAAGAAAAGCAGCAGGUUAAUACCCCGCUGUUCUGACGGUACCCAAAGAAUAAGCACCGGCUAACUUCGUG
rnacentral:rRNA from 1 species